rnacentral:rRNA from 1 species
AUUGAACGCUGGCGGAAUGCUUUACACAUGCAAGUCGAACGGUAGAGGGGGCAACCCCUCGAGAGUGGCGAACGGGUGAGUAAUAUAUCGGAACGUGCCCAGUCGUGGGGGAUAACGUAGCGAAAGUUACGCUAAUACCGCAUACGAUCUACGGAUGAAAGCGGGGGAUCGCAAGACCUCGCGCGAUUGGAGCGGCCGAUAUCAGAUUAGGUAGUUGGUGGGGUAAAGGCUCACCAAGCCAACGAUCUGUAGCUGGUCUGAGAGGACGACCAGCCACACUGGAACUGAGACACGGUCCAGACUCCUACGGGAGGCAGCAGUGGGGAAUUUUGGGACAAUGGACGCAAGUCUGAUCCAGCCAUUCCGCGUGCAGGAUGAAGGCCCUCGGGUUGUAAACUGCUUUUGUACGGAACGAAAAGGUUUCCAUUAAUACUGGGAGCUCAUGACGGUACCGUAAGAAUAAGCACCGGCUAACUACGUGCCAGCAGCCACGGU